ensembl:lncRNA novel transcript
GUACAUGUUUAUUGAUUUCUGUAUGAGCCUGGUAAUAAGCUCACUAAAUUAAUGCCACCUAAAUUGUUCCUUGGUUUACUAACAAAGAAUAACCAUAUUUUUAUGGUCCAAAUGCCAGGUUUACAUAAGAGGCUCAUCAAGAAGGAAAGGAAAAAAUGGUUGCAACUUAAGUGAUUUUCCCCUUCCACUUAGUCCUCCGUUCAUAGGGCCCAAUAGCUUCCUAUCAAGCAUCUCAAAAUCUUUCUGACACCUGGAUUUCAAGAUUUUCCAUUACUUAAUGCAUCCUCUUGAAAGUAUCCCCACACUUUUCCACUACCCAUCAGCGGGAUGCCAUUCAGUAAUGGAAGCUACAUUCCAUGAGAGCAAGAACCUCAUCUGUAUCUCUGUGCCUGAAGGAGCCUGACACAUAGUAUUUAAUAAGUACUCAAUAAAAAUCUGCUUUAUGAAAAUAGCCUUAUUUGUUCACUACCUAUCUUACUAGUUCCUGAGAUAUUUGAAAAGUUAUCUAUUCUAUUAGAGUGUCAGCAAAAUUCUGGGAUGCUGAGAUCCUGUAGAGUUAUAGCCUUGGUUUGGUUCAGUUACUUUUCAAAGUUCCAGCUAAAUCCUAAGGCAUUCACAAGGGUGAGGUGCAGGUGUCUGAAUAUUUGGGCAUUAAUAAGCCAGAUAGCACUAUUCUGUGGCUUUCCAAGGUCAAUUAAAUUCUUUCCCCCAGUGAGAAAGAACAUCAGCCUUAGAACUCAGCUUUAGUUCUAGCUUCAAACCAAUUGGCUUUGGACACUUCUUAAUUUUACAGCUCCUGGUUUUUCUAACCACUCUUAGGGCUCUAAAAACCAUUUACUGUUUUUUUAGAGAAAUCAACUAACCAUUCUACGUCCUAGCAUUAUAUUUUUCAAAAAUUUCCCCAGUAGAAGUAAAAGCAAUUUUACCAGUAACCUUUACUAACUUUUCUGAAAUUGAGAUGCCUCCCUAGACCUAAAAAAAGUUAUUUCUAAAUUUAGAGUCAGCUACUAGUAGUCGCUGUCUUUAUUCAGAGUGAUCAUAGUUCAUUGUAGACCAGCAAAAAAAAACUAAAAAAACAAAAUCUAACUUUUUUUAACAAGAUUACAUUUUGGGGCUUCGUCUCUACCCAGCAGAGGAAAACAGGGUGGGAGAUAAAACAUUCCAUCUAAGCAAUUUCUCAAGCCUUACAGCCUCUUACUUCUGCCCAGCAGAUCUUAAGUAGCAAAAUAAAUACACUUUGUAUGAAUAAAGAGUGGAACAUUUGGGGAGGUAAGUCAAAGAGAUAGCUUCCAAGUCACUUGUAAUAAAUAUAUCUGGAACGAAAAACCAUUUUCUUCACAAGUCAGAUUUGUAAUUACCAAAUUAGACAUUGCUUGGUGCUAAAGAGCUGGAUGCUGAGAGAUUGCCCCUCUCCUCCCAUUGCACUGAGCCUUAACCUCCUGAAUUCCUGUUGAGCACUUGUAGGUAUCUGGGGUGGCUUUGCUCAGCUUUCAUAGCUGAGCAAACUCAACUGUGUCCAUGUUGAAAAAAUAAAAGAAAUUCCACCAAA